rnacentral:rRNA from 1 species
UACGUAGGGUGCAAGCGUUAUCCGGAAUUAUUGGGCGUAAAGAGCUCGUAGGCGGUUCGUCGCGUCGGCUGUGAAAUCCCGAGGCUCAACCUCGGGUCUGCAGUCGAUACGGGCGGACUGGAGUUCGGCAGGGGAGACUGGAAUUCCUGGUGUAGCGGUGAAAUGCGCAGAUAUCAGGAGGAACACCGGUGGCGAAGGCGGGUCUCUGGGCCGAUGACUGACGCUGAGGAGCGAAAGCGUGGGGAGCGAACAGG